CCCUGUGUCCAUUUGACAACUCAUAUCUUCCAGUAUGGCGGAUUCUGUGUAAAAAUGUGUGUUUCACGGAAAGUGUGAGGAAAAAAGUGAAAAAUCAUAGUGAAUUUCACUCUAUUGUGCAGAUAAUUUAGUCUAUUUGCGGUGUUUUACAAUAUCCUAGUGAGCGGUGGUGCAAGUGAAAACAAAUUGGAGCACAAUGCCGAAAUGCGAUCUCAAGACAAAAUACAUCCCGGCCGUGCUAGCUUGGCUUGUUUUAUUGAGCACUACUUUCGUGUUUUUCUACUAUCCUUGCCAGUACUAUGUGUCCCGUUUUCCGUGGGUGCCAGCUUAUCAGGGAGUCAUCACAUUCUUCGUGAUCGCCAACUUCACUCUGGCAUCAUUUAUGGAUCCGGGUGUGAUACCAAAAGCUCUACCCGAUGAAGACAGAGAAGAUGAAUUUCGGGCUCCGCUGUACAAGAAUGCCGAUAUCAAUGGAAUCACCGUCCGGAUGAAAUGGUGUGUCACCUGCAAAUUCUACCGACCACCCAGAUGUUCUCAUUGUUCUGUGUGCAAUCAGUGUAUAGAGAAAAUGGAUCAUCACUGUCCAUGGGUCAAUUCAUGCAUAGGUCGUAGGAACUAUCGGUUCUUCUUCUUCUUCCUGAUAUCCCUCUCCAUUCACAUGUUGAGCAUCUUUACGCUGUGUCUCAUAUUUGUGCUGCACAACAAGGAGAAAUUGGCACAGGUGGAUGUGAUUGUGGCUCUUGUGCUUAUUGCCAUCAUUAUUGUACUGGCAAUUCCUGUAUUUGGUCUCACGGGAUUUCACAUGGUGCUCGUGUCACGAGGGCGAACGACAAAUGAGCAGGUGACGGGAAAGUUUAAGGGUGGCUACAAUCCCUUCUCACAGGGAUGCUGGCACAAUUGCUGCUAUACUCUCUGCGGACCUCAAUAUCCCAGUUUGCUGAAGCCACACAAAUAUGCGGCAAGACGAUCGAAUAAGGAGAAUCAGAUGAUCAGCACAAUAACGAGCGAUGGUCAGGCGAGGGGAGGCGGAGGAGGUGGUGGUGGUGGUCAAGGAGGCGCAGGAUCGCUUCAGCAACAGCAGCAGCAUCUCUAUGAGAGGGACAAUCGACAUACACAGGUAAAAACCUAUACGGACCAUGGAAAUGGGCAUGGGAUGCGUUCUGGUGGAACUACACAGUACAGCAAGUUGUCCCCUGGAAGGGAAUGUUCAGAUACUGAUAUGGAACCACAGGCAUCUCAGAGUCAAGACUGUGAGCCGACACCACCAUUGCAGAGACAUGGUUCUAAAAGCAAUUUCUUCCUGCCACCCAUGGAUGGUGGUGAAUCACCCAGACACAUCAGGAUGUAUCAUCCACGGCACAGUCCUCAUCCCAGACAAAGAGGACUUGAUCCCUCACGAGGAUAUACGCCGGAUUCUCUGUCGCCGGAACAGCAGCCGGGACAGAUGAUGGCUGGUAUGCAGAUGCAGCCAGUCAGUCAGCAACAACAACAAAUGGGGCCACGAGGCACUUCGGCAACCCCAACGAUGCAACAACGAAUCAAGGCACUCGGAGUUGCCACUCCGCUAGCCAUGUCCAGUCCAGUGAGAAGAUCGAAUCCCGGUACUCCAACUCAACCACGUCGUCCGGACUUUAUCAGUGUGAAUCCCUCGAUGUCCAAUCAGGUGGGUGCCACGUACUAUGACUUCCCGAUGCAGCAGCAACCGCCGCACCAUCAGAGUCUUCCACCGCCACCGACGCAACAGCAACAAUCCUAUCAGAUGACCCAGCAGCAUCACAAUGGUGCUGUUCGUGCCCAGCCUGUCUACGGAAGCCCUCAGAGACGCUUCCUGUCUGAGGGUGAGUUGGUGCGUCAGGGAGCUGAGUUGUCCUAUGCACGGACAAAUAAUACCGUGGAUAAUAUCAGAGAAUUGGCUGGAAGUCCACAGAGGGGGGUUUAUAUGUGGAAGGACACGAGUCCUGGGUAUGGGAAUUCAGGGAAUCCACCGGGAUUUCCUGGUGUUCAAGCUACACAGAUGAAUAUGCUGCGACAGCAGCAGAAUAAUCAGCAAAUGAUGCAAAUGGAGCAUCAUCGAUCGAAUCCCACGAGUCCAACGCAGCAGCAGCAGCAGCAGCAGCAGCAGCAGCAGCAGAUGCAAUAUGCUGGAGCUCAGCAGAGGUAUCCACAAACUAUGCCAAAUAACAUCCAACCCACCUCAGGUGGCUACCAUCCGGCUCUGAGGGGUGGUGUACCUGUAUUUCCGCCCCAGCCGUCACCACAGGUGAAACGAAAAGCCACCCCAACGCGUCCCAUGUCUUUUGUGCGAGCCCUAGAGAUGACGGAUGCCAUGGAGAUGGCCCAGAAUGCGAGUGAUAUUCAGCAGCAGCAACAGCAACAGCAGCAACCAAAUCAAAAUUCAAGUAGGAACAACGGACCCAUGCCGCACAAUCAGCAGAGAUCCACAACACCAACGCCGGAUAGAGCAAGUGUCUAUGAUAUGAAUUAUGAGAUUUCUGUAUAACACAACGCGCCAGGGCGAUCUUAUCACGGCACCACCACUUCCGCCAAUAUGCCAACCUGUGAAUUCACCACCUUUGGCUAUACCAAGAAGAAGUACUAGGAAAAUGGGGAAGAGGGAAGGGACAUUCUGAAUGUUUUCUUCUCAAAAAUAUCAAACAUCAAAGCACUUUAGGUCCUGCAUGAUUGUAUUUGUUUUGUGACUCAACGGAGGAUUUUCUUGAGUAGAUAAAAGUGUUUUUUUUUUAAUUUGACUUUUCAAUAAAAGUGCAUUUGAGAAGAAAAAGCAGAAUGUACGAAGGAAAAAGUGAAAAGAUUGCUCCUGUUGAUGAAAAGCUAUAAAAAUCAACUUGUUUCUUACAGUUAUCUAGUUUUUAUUUAAAAAAAGAAAACAAGAAAUUGAUGGUGAAAAAUAUGUUUUUUCUUUUAGAUAGAACGUUUAGGCAAUACAUGUAUAAUUUUUUUAAAUUAAAAUAAUUUAUAAAAGAAUGAAAAUGCUAUUAUAAAUAUCUGAUUGUCACUAAUAAUUUUAUAUUUGCGGAGAAAAAGUUAAAAAAAAAGACCGAAGAGAAAAAAACAAGUAAAAAAAUAUUUGAAAAAUGGUUUUGAAAAUAAAGAAAAUAAAAAAAAUAUAGAUUUUAACAAUUAGGUCUGCAUUUAAAUGUGAAGAAUGGACAAAAAAAAAUAAACUUACGAUAUAUAUAUUGUAUACAAAAAAAAUUAAAGAUUGGGGAAAAUAGAGAAAAAAUGUAGGUAGGAAAAAAAACGGCGCGAAGAAGAAUUUGUAAAAGAGAAAAAGAGAGUAAAGAUAAAUGUAGCAUUUUCGUGUUUGUUAACACUGAUUGUUUUAUAUGGAUCGUGACUACUUAAUUAACACAAAUGUGAAGGAAAAAUAAAAAGGGUGAAACGAACAUGUUUUUUAGUGAUUAUAAUUUUUUGUAAUGUAAAGAGAAAAAAGGUGGGGAGUUAAGAAAAAAAAAUGUGUAAAAUUUUUAAUAAUAAUAAUAUAUUUUAAAUAAUCAAAUGACUGACAUCACAAUUUAGUGUGAGGAGAAAAAAAAGAGAGUGAGGUUUUUUUUUGUUUUUGAUAAGAGGAAGAUACAAGAUGAUGAAAGAUUUACUAGGAGGGAAUAUAUUUAGAAUUCAUACACUGUAGGCAAGAAAUCAUGAUUUCUUUCACAUUGCAAAAAAAAAGUGAAACAGUUUUUAGAAAAUAGAAAAAAAUUGCAAAAUCAUCAAAGUCAUUUUUAAAAUAGGAUAUUCCAACAAAAAAAGAAAUAUGAAUCGCAAUAAAUAGAAUAUUUUCAUCAUUCCGAAUGUUGAAAGGGUUAAAAUGAAGUAAUAAAAGGGGUAAAAGAGAAAAAAAA